CAAAUAUGAAAACCAAUAAUCUCCAUUGUCAAUUGUUCAUCACAGAAUAAUAAUAAAGAAAACACCUUUGAUUUUACAAUUGGGAUGGCCGAUGGAUGUGGAAAAGGAGCACGGCGCCUUAUUUGUAUGUUGUUUGAAUGAACAAGGCCUAUGACAUUGCCUCCAUCGCCGUCCUCCCUCCCCAGUAAUCGUGCAGUUCUCGCAGGUCGCCCUUAUCUAAUCUGGUAGCAGUUGCAAAAAAAAUGUUAUGCCGCAGAAUGUCACUGCAUAAACUUAUAGAUAGUGCAAGGUCCAAUUAAUAGGAGUAAGUUCCUGCAAUUUCAGAUUUGUUUUCAUUACUAGUAGUACAAAUUUCUCACUCUACUUCCCACCACCUUACUGCACGCUUGCACUGAUAAAUCAGGUAAUUGAACUGCAUUUUUGUCUGUCAUGUAAAACUGUUUGCAAUUGACACCCACCCUUAUAUAUGCAGUUACACGAUUUCAUUACAUGAUGCCUAUUCCUCAGAAAUUACUUGCACAUUAUUCAGGGAACCAUCGAUGGCGCACCACAAAUUGAAGAGUCCUGUGCACCUAAUUACAGCUUUACUAGUUAGAGAUGACAUGUGUAGUGUUUUGGUAUCUUGCCCAAUAACAUUCAUUCAUGUUUUUAUUGUUGGACAGAGAUUUGGCUUGCAUGAUGACUCAUCCAAGAAGAUGUCCUCUUUGCCAGCUAGUUUAGCUUCUUGCGCGCGAGAAGAGUCUCAGCUGCAACUGGCAAAAGUACAAAGCAACCCAAUGCACUGCUGGAACCCCUCUAUUGCAAAUACUAGAUGAUAAGUUGGAUUCCUUGAAGGAAAAGAUAGAUGAAUCAAAAGCAACAAGAAAGCAACAGUUGGAAGAGAUUGGAAAUUUGAGGAGACCAAUACCCUUCUUCGUCAGUUGAUUGGCCUUAAUAAUUCUUCUUUUGGCCAGUCUUAGUAAUAUGCUGAUUCAUGAUGAGAUGGUUGUAGUGUUUUAGUUGGUGCGACUUUGACAUGUGACUUGUUCAGGUCAGUUAAUUUGAAUGAUUAUUUGGACAUAUGACUUUGUUUUGGACGGUGAUUGAGUUGUGACUCGAUUAGGAUAGUAAUGUGCCAAACCUGUUUAUUUUGCUAUUCAGGACCUGAUGUAACUGCACAUGUGAAAUAAUUUUUGGUCAGUGAAGCUGUCAUAUAA